rnacentral:misc_RNA from 1 species
UUAAGUUCAGCGGGUAUCCCUACCUGAUCCGAGGUCAAAAUGUUAAAUAGCUUGUGGAGGGCCGAUCCGGAGUCCUCGAGUUCGCGUUUCUGCUGCGCUCGAAGCCAACGUACCGGCCGCCAAUACAUUUGAGGCGCACACCCCCGCGGAGGGAGGCGUGACAGGCCCAACACCAAGCAGAGCUUGAAGGUUUAAAUGAC